UUUUAUAUGGGAAUAUAGUUAUUUAAACUCCAAAUGUGUGGUCUAUUUCUCAACUAAUUGCUGAUUUAAAAAAUUUGCUACAAUGUUUUCGGAGAUGUGCCUGCCCGCUAACGGGCAAGUCUGCUGCUGUUUGAAUUGCUGAAUGACAGACUGCGUGGUCCAAAUAAAUAAUUAUAAUGUGUAGCAAUCUUCACAUGUUAUCAGACGCAAAGCGCCCCUUAACCAAAUCCUGUUUGGUCCUCAUUAACAGCAUGCUGGAAUGCACUACAGUUGGCAGAGUCAUCCACAGACUCAGCGGUGACAUAGAUUGACGUAUGUGUUUGUUUCUCAGCAGAGGAGUGUCAUACUGAUACUUAAUGUCACGUCAGUCAGCCACAUCACAUUGAAGGUGCAGUUGUCAGACUGCAGCAGAGGAGUGUCAUACUGAUACUUAAUGUCACGUCAGUCAGCCACAUCACAUUGAAGGUGCAGUUGUCAGACUGCAGCAGAGGAGUGUCAUACUGAUACUUAAUGUCACGUCAGUCAGCCACAUCACAUUGAAGGUGCAGUUGUCAGACUGCAGGUUUCCUUUGUUUUACUUUACCAACUUGGCGAAAGUGGACACCACAGAAAAGGACACAGAAGAGAAGAAUAUCCGGUCAGAUCCCUGCAGAAGUUUAAUGUGAACAGAGUUACAAGCAGGAGAGGACAGACGCACAGACUUUCUUGAGCUUCCUGGGAUCAUUGCCUCACUCAGAGGCCACAAAAAUCAGGACCAGCUGGUGCUCAUAGAUGCUAUGUGAUAAAGCAGUUUCCAAAUCCCAUAGUGUCACUGCAACAAGUCCUACUCAAAGAUACCGACCCUCCAAUCCAAGGAUACGGAUUGUGACAUUUUUCAGUUUGGUUCCACCAUUUGUACUGCAUGCUUGUGACGGAGUACCUUCACUACAGUUGAGUUAGAGAACCCCUCAGAGAACCGAAAUGCAAUUAACUGUCAAAGUUGCAUGUUUGGUACCCUGUAGACCUGUGAUUGAAUCUGGGUAGACUGACUGCUCUCGCCUUUGGCCGCAUAUGGUGUCAGGAGUGGGACGGCUUGCCGUGAGGUCAUCUGAGCCCAGAGUCUGAACCGUAUGAGGGACCCCAUGGGUUACAUUAAUGAUGGGAUGUGUAUAGUGUACUUUUCAGUAAUACUGAUCAUAUGUCGUCAUUUUACGGAUUUUAUUUUUAUUUGAAGGUAUUUUGGUCGAGAUGUGAUACAUGCUGCUGCACCUUUUAAUGUACAGGAAUUUAUUUUUGUAAUAUACACAAAAUUAAAGUUUUUUUUAGUUGUCUGUA